GGAGAGAUGCCGGAGUGGACGAACGGGCUCGCCUGCUAAGCGAGUAAGCGGGGAUGACCCGCUUCGAGGGUUCGAAUCCCUCUCUCUCCGCCA
rnacentral:tRNA from 1 species